rnacentral:lncRNA from 1 species
UGAAGUCUGAUUGGUGUGAUUGGAGUAUGUAUAGGUAUAACUCAUAGAGUUAGGUGCCACCGGUAGGGAUGGUGUAUGUCAUGUUGAGACAUGUCUGUACAAUGCAUGGAUAUUGGUGUGAAGUUUCCAUGAUUGUUAAUUUGAGGGGGAGUUUUGGUUAACCUCCUCACAUUUGGUCAGCCUAAGGUCUGGUUGGCUGUUGACCUGUGUCACAUGGGUUCUGGUGGUUGUGUGACACA